CCACGGGUGAGUAACACGUAUCCAACCUGCCGUCUACUCUUGACAGCCUUCUGAAGGAAGAUUAAUACAAGAUGGCAUCAUGAGUCCGCAUGUUCACAUGAUUAAAGGUAUUCCGGUAGACGAUGGGGAUGCGUUCCAUUAGAUAGUAGGCGGGGUAACGGCCCACCUAGUCUUCGAUGGAUAGGGGUUCUGAGAGGAAGGUCCCCCACAUUGGAACUGAGACACGGUCCAA
rnacentral:rRNA from 1 species